rnacentral:rRNA from 1 species
UGAUUGACGAUGGAUCACCAGUGAGUGGCGGACGGGUGAGUAACACGUAGGUAACCUGCCCCGGAGCGGGGGAUAACGUUUGGAAACAGAUGCUAAUACCGCAUAACAACAAAAGCCACAUGGCUUUUGUUUGAAAGAUGGCUUUGGCUAUCACUCUGGGAUGGACCUGCGGUGCAUUAGCUAGUUGGUAAGGUAACGGCUUACCAAGGCGAUGAUGCAUAGCCGAGUUGAGAGACUGAUCGGCCACAAUGGAACUGAGACACGGUCCAUACUCCUACGGGAGGCAGCAGUAGGGAAUCUUCCACAAUGGGCGCAAGCCUGAUGGAGCAACACCGCGUGAGUGAAGAAGGGUUUCGGCUCGUAAAGCUCUGUUGUUGGAGAAGAACGUGCGUGAGAGUAACUGUUCACGCAGUGACGGUAUCCAACCAGAAAGUCACGGCUAACUACGUGCCAGCAGCCGCGGUAAUACGUAGGUGGCAAGCGUUAUCCGGAUUUAUUGGGCGUAAAGCGAGCGCAGGCGGUUGCUUAGGUCUGAUGUGAAAGCCUUCGGCUUAACCGAAGAAGUGCAUCGGAAACCGGGCGACUUGAGUGCAGAAGAGGACAGUGGAACUCCAUGUGUAGCGGUGGAAUGCGUAGAUAUAUGGAAGAACACCAGUGGCGAAGGCGGCUGUCUGGUCUGCAACUGACGCUGAGGCUCGAAAGCAUGGGUAGCGAACAGGAUUAGAUACCCUGGUAGUCCAUGCCGUAAACGAUGAGUGCUAGGUGUUGGAGGGUUUCCGCCCUUCAGUGCCCGGAGCUAACGCCAUUAAAGCACUUCGCCCUGGGGGAGUACGACCCGCCAAGGUUGAAACCUCAAAGGAAU